AGGGGGGAUUCCUUCCAGCCACAAAUCUUGCAUUCUUUGAGGUUUGGGUCUUAUCAUGUGAACAUAAACAAACAGGUGGGGAUACAAAUAUUCAUUUGACAAUAUUUCUUUUUAAAGACAAUCGAGGGAAGACCUAGAGUUUGUCUGAAGGAGGACAUAGUUAAGGAGGAUAUCAGGGCCCUGACACACAGAAUGAGUGGAAAUUUUUGGCAAAUAAAGAUACAGAAAAUAAACCAGGACUUAUGCAAACUACUGGAAGGAAAAAGGAUCAAAGAUGUUUGGGAUUUCUGCUUGGGAUGGAUGAAACAAGAGUAAUACAUAAUGGAGAAAGUAUGGAGCUGCUCAGCUUUUAUUUCCUCUGCCAGGGUAAAUGAUCUUUUGGAUAGGAAAGGUGAGGAUGUAGAUAGCUAACAAGGACUUAAAAUAUAACAUAAGGAGAUGGAAAAUAAGAAUGCAUUAAGCCUCCCUUGCUGAGUUUAAAUCACUAAUUCCUCCUAAAGAAACAAUUUCCCAUUAAUAAAAUAAACAACCCUACCCCCCUCAAACAUGGUAAACUAGUAUAAUUGAAUGCUUAGUCAUUGUCAAUAGAUGGGCACCAUUAGUCUUCAGGUAGGAUGAUAAGUUAUGGCAAAGUCAGAGGUAUAGAAUGGGGAGGUAUUAGACCAUAAUAUAGGUCUCUAUAAUUCAAAGUAACCUCAGAUAGUAUCUAACCAAACUCCUUCCCCUUUUUUUAUCUAUACAGAAAAUGUGGUUCAAAGAGGACAACUGGCUUGCCAAAAGUCACCUGGGUAAUAAGUAUGAAAAAGGAGGAAAAGACCUAAUGAUCUCAUGACAUCUUUCUGCUGGAUUUGUCAUUGGGAUUACUGUGGCCUCUCUCAUCAUUCUUAUGAUUACAUGCAAGGUCAGAUCCUAUCACACAAAAGGACAACUCUGGAGUGCAGACAGUGGCAAUUGUUUUGCCUGCUAAAGGUGAACAAUGGACUGGACCUAAUGGCUGCUGAAGUCCUUUUCAACUCUGAAAUUCUUCAAUUCUAUGAAUUAUUAAUUUUUUUCUCUAAGUACCUUUUAAAAAAACAGAUUAUCUGUAGCAUACUCAAUCAUUGUAAUUCUCAGAAUGUCAAUGUGAUGUAUUCCUGAUCCCCCCAAAAAUAAACCAACCACACUGGGCA
rnacentral:lncRNA from 1 species